rnacentral:rRNA from 1 species
CCAGACUCCUACGGGAGGCAGCAGUGAGGAAUAUUGGUUAAUGGGCGGGAGCCUGAACCAGCCAUGCCGCGUGAAGGCGAGUGCCCUACGGGCGUUAAACUUCUUUUGUGCGGGAGCAAUAAGGGCCACGCGUGGCCCGAUGAGAGUACCGCACGAAUAAGCAUCGGCUAACUCCGUGCCAGCAGCCGCGGUAAUACGGAGGAUGCGAGCGUUAUCCGGAUUUAUUGGGUUUAAAGGGUGCGCAGGCGGAGGUGCAAGUCAGCGGUCAAAUUGCGGGGCUCAACCCCGUACUGCCGUUGAAACUGCAUCCCUUGAGUGCGCGAGAAGUAUGCGGAAUGCGUGGUGUAGCGGUGAAAUGCAUAGAUAUCACGCAGAACCCCGAUUGCGAAGGCAGCAUACCGGCGCUCAACUGACGCUGAGGCACGAAAGUGCGGGUAUCGAACAGGAUUAGAUACCCGUGUACCC